AAGGCUGUGAUAGCCACUGCUUUUGUUACUACUGUAUCAUUGAUUUGGAGGUGCAGGAAUGCUAUUAGAUUUGAGAAGAAACCAUUUGAUGAUAAUCUUGUGUGCCGAGAGAUUGCAAUUCUUAUUCAUGCACGUGGCAGAAGUUGCAAGAAAUGGUUAAAGGGGCUGCGACAACUUAAUUACUAUCCCUAGUUCCUAGUUUGAUUUGUAAUAGCAGUAUAGUUGUUUAGGAAGCGGUAGUUAGUCUAUACUACCACUAAGAACACUCUUAUGUACAUUUGUUGAUAUCAAUAGAAG
rnacentral:lncRNA from 1 species